CCCCCCACACCCGAGACACAAGAUUUUGUAGCAGUGCCAGUGAAGAUCACAGUAAAUGACGGCAUUGAAGUAGCAUCUAGUGCGUUUGAGUUCUACAACUGCGCAGCCGUUGUGAAGAGAUUUGAGAAUACACCAUGCAUUGCAUGUGUGACCAGUAAGUGGGGCUGCCAAUGGAAUAUUCAGGAUCACACGUGCAGUGAUCGAGAUGACUCUGUCAAGGCUGAUCAUAUCAUCCAACACAUGC